AACGAACGCUGGCGGCAUGCCUAACACAUGCAAGUCGAACGAGACCUUCGGGUCUAGUGGCGCACGGGUGCGUAACGCGUGGGAAUCUGCCCUUGGGUUCGGAAUAACUCAGAGAAAUUUGAGCUAAUACCGGAUGAUGACGAAAGUCCAAAGAUUUAUCGCCCAAGGAUGAGCCCGCGUAAGAUUAGCUUGUUGGUGGGGUAAUGGCCUACCAAGGCGACGAUCUUUAGCUGGUCUGAGAGGAUGAUCAGCCACACUGGGACUGAGACACGGCCCAGACUCCUACGGGAGGCAGCAGUGGGGAAUAUUGGACAAUGGGCGAAAGCCUGAUCCAGCAAUGCCGCGUGAGUGAUGAAGGCCUUAGGGUUGUAAAGCUCUUUUACCAGGGAUGAUAAUGACAGUACCUGGAGAAUAAGCUCCGGCUAACUCCGUGCCAGCAGCCGCCGUAACAC
rnacentral:rRNA from 1 species